rnacentral:tRNA from 1 species
GUUCAUUUAGCUCAAAUUGUAGAGCAUUGUACUAGCAACAAAAAGGUUGUGGGCUCAAUUCCCAGAAAAAACA